GACGAACGCUGGCGGCGUGCUUAACACAUGCAAGUCGAACGGAAAGGCCCCUUUGGGGGUACUCGAGUGGCGAACGGGCGGGUACAACGUGAGUAACCUGCCCUUGACUUCGGGAAAAAUUCAGGAAACUGGGGCUAAUACCGGAUAUGAAACCUUGCUGCAUGGUGGGGGGUGGAAAGCUUCGGCGGUUUUGGAUGGACUCGCGGCUUAUCGGCUUGUUGGUGGGGUAGUGGGUUAACAAGGCUUUGACGGGUAGCCGGCCUGAGAGGGCGACCGGCCACAUUGGGACUGAGAUACGGCCCAGACGCCUACGGGAGGCAGCAGUGGGGAAUGUUGCACUAUGGGCGGAAGCCUGAGGCAGCAACGCCGCGUGCGUGAUUACGGCCUUCGUGUUGUAAACCGCUUUCAGCAGGGGCGAAGCUUGUGGUGACGGUACCUGAAGAAGAAGCACCGGCUAACUACGUG
rnacentral:rRNA from 1 species